CCUACGGGUGGCAGCAGUGAGGAAUAUUGGUCAAUGGGCGCGAGCCUGAACCAGCCAAGCAGCGUGAAGGAUGACGGCCCUACGGGUCGUAAACCUCUUUUAUAAAGGAACAAAGUGAGGCACGCGUGCCUUUCUGUAUGUACUUUAUGAAUAAGCAUCGGCUAACGCCGUGCCAGCAGCCGCGGUAAUACGGAGGAUCCGAGCGUUAUCCGGAUUUAUUGGGUUUAAAGGGAGCGUAGACGGGGUGUUAAGUCAGUGGUGAAAGUGUGCGGCUCAACCGCAGACGUGCAAUUGGUACUGGGAGCCGUGAGUGCGGUGGAGGGAGGCGGAAUGCGUGGUGUAGCGGUGAAAUGCAUAGAUAUCGCGCAGAACGCCGAUUGCGAAGGCAGCCUGCUGAGCUGCCACUGACGUUGAGGCUCGAAAGCGUGGGUAUCGAACAGGAUUAGAUACCCUUGUAGUC
rnacentral:rRNA from 1 species